rnacentral:rRNA from 1 species
CAGUAGCCACGGGAAUACAGAGGGUGCGAGCGUUAAUCGGAUUUACUGGGCGUAAAGCGUGCGUAGGCGGCUUCUUAAGUCGGAUGUGAAAUCCCUGAGCUUAACUUAGGAAUUGCAUUCGAUACUGGGAAGCUAGAGUAUGGGAGAGGAUGGUAGAAUUCCAGGUGUAGCGGUGAAAUGCGUAGAGAUCUGGAGGAAUACCGAUGGCGAAGGCAGCCAUCUGGCCUAAUACUGACGCUGAGGUACGAAAGCAUGGGGAGCAAACAGGAUUAGAUACCCGCGUAGUCCCUGUCUCUUAUAA